rnacentral:lncRNA from 1 species
GUGGAAAACUCUCCCAGACAACCACGGAGCAAAGCUCUGCAUCGAAGAUCUAAUAGAGAGGUAAAAGAGGAUUCGCCUGAAAAUCCAGACACAACGAAUGGCUGGCAUCGUUCAAAUAGGAUUGUUGUCGUUUGCAGUUAAUUUUCCCUGUAAAUCAUGUGUCAUCAAUAAUACAAGUUGUGCAAGUAAAAAAAAAAAAAGAACCAUUAUUAAAGUUCCUCCGGAGGAGAGCAAAUAUAACAGUCCUACAUUUGGUAAGCAAUGAGAGACAACCUAAUAUCAGAACUAACCAUUGUUAUCAUCGUAAACCAGAUCACGAGCCUUCCUUAAUUGGUUAUCAGAGCACCCCCAGUGGAAAGUAACUGCAAUUUUGCAUCUAAAACUUUCAAACUUCCUUCAAUCGCAUGUCAGUUAAUGUUAUCCCACAAGAGCGACAACACAGAGGCAACAUACUCGAAUUGCCAAGCACAGACAGAAAAGAUCAUGCAAGGCCUAUGAUGUACAAGGCCAGAGAGGGGGACAGAGGCAUACAAAGGCGAACAACUGCUAAUUAACAAGCAUGCGAAAGCAAAAGCAAUUUAAACUUCUCCUGUUACUACGAAACCUGUGCAUCUCAUAUGCUUCAAUCAAAGCUAAUCCUAAAAUACCGGCAACUCUGGCCAUUAAUUCCUGCAUUGCCCCAUAGACUAUCUAAAUAACCGCAACAUUCAUGCCCGGUCGACUACGUUGUAGAACUGAGGAACCGAGCCGAUAGCAACAAGAUCACAAACAAAACGAGCAUUCUUGAUGAUCAGAAAGCAAACCGCGAGCAGCAGCUUGCAACAGGAGACGCGACAUUCUCGAACGCAGUGCGAGUUAACAUGAGACAAUGAGGCUCUUAACCGGCAAUUUCUUCAUCAUUGAGACAAUAUUUGCAUUAUCUGCAUUACCCGUUUCAGCAAUUUCAUCUGGGCUUUAAACCCAUUCAGCUGGAGUCCGUUCAGGAAACGAAAAGUUCUUUUUAAACUACAGAUUCAUGAGCGAGAGAGGGUUCAGCACAAAACUGCUCGACACUCAAACGAUUGGAACUCAAAUUGGAUUCUUCGAGACGAGGACCUACCAAUUCUAUAGCAUCAAAGCAGUCACUGCGAUGAUGCCGUCUCGCUCAGAAUCGAAACUGACUCUAACGAGAAUAGCAUGCACAAUUCCACAUCUACCCUCUCACCGUAUCCCUCAAGCAACCGCCAUUCCGCCCCUUCCCCGAUCCCGUCAGCUCCCUUUCUCUUUCCGCCCACCACCGCUUCCCCUCUCCUCUUCUCCGACUGCCGCCUCCGACUUGGGUGAUCUCUCUCCCUCUCCCUCGCUCUCUCUCCGCUUUCUCUUCGCCUUGGCAGCUGCGCCGUAAGUAAGAGCGCUGUUCUCUCCUCCCUCCGAG